GACGAACGCUGGCGGCGUGCUUAACACAUGCAAGUCGAACGGAAAGGCCCUGCUUUUGUGGGGUGCUCGAGUGGCGAACGGGUGAGUAACACGUGAGUAACCUGCCCUUGACUUUGGGAUAACUUCAGGUAACUGGGGCUAAUACCGGAUAGGAGCUCCUGCUGCAUUGUGGGGGUGGGAAAGUUUCGGCGGGUGGGGAUGGACUCGCGGCUUAUCAGCUUGUUCGUGGGGUAGUGGCUUACCAAGGCUUUGACGGGUAGCCGGCCUGAGAGGGUGACCGGCCACAUUGGGACUGAGAUACGGCCCAGACUCCUACGGGAGGCAGCAGUGGGGAAUAUUGCACUAUGGGCGGAAGCCUGAUGCAGCCACGCCGCGUGCGGGAUGACGGCCUUCGGGUUGUAAACCGCUGUCGCCUGUGACGAAGCGUGAGUGACGGUAAUGGGUAAAGAAGCACCGGCUAACUACGUG
rnacentral:rRNA from 1 species